rnacentral:tRNA from 1 species
UGCCGGAUCGUCUAAUGGUAGGACAACGGUUUUUGGUACCGUUUAUCUAGGUUCGAGCCCUAGUCCGUCCC